CUUUUAGGUGCCGUUUCACCUCUAACACAUUAAAUAGGAAGUGCCCCUUACUUUCCAUCACUUUGCUUGCAAUCCUUUCAAAAAUCUAGAUGCACCUUUUUCUCUCUCCACCAUUUGAAGUAUCAGUCUACUUUUUUUUGAGUGGGAAGAUCAGGUCAACAUCCCUCUUCUUCAACAAGUCUGGGCAUACAGAGGCCCUCCAAAGCAACAAGAUCAAGGUCGUACUGCUCACGUGCUCCUCUCCUACAUCUCAUAUUGCGGCACCAUAGUAUCAACAGACGAUGUCCCCUUCAGAGAUGACGUCGGUUUCGAUUUCUACGUUCUUCUUUAUCUUUAUGAGAACAUUAAAGAGUUAGUAGCCGAAAAGGAAAAUCCUCAAGAAGAAUCAGCUGAUUUUGAAGCUACAGUCUCUGAUAACAUGUUGUAGAAUAAAUUUGUGGAGAUCGUCGUUGAGAGGAAGCACCGAAAAGAAGGUGGGUUGUCCUCCGUUUCUCAAAAUGUUUUUGGUUCAACAACCUUUGAUUAUCAUCAACAAUCACCGAUUGUGGCGGUGAAUGAUGCUUCUUCUGCUCUUGUCGUUGCUACUACUGAGAGUCUUACUUUCAUAUCUACUGAGUGGAGGUCGGGCAAGUGCCCAUCCAAUCAAGCUGCAGAGGUUCAUAAGAAGAGCUGAUUUGACCAUUUUCUUCCUACUGCUGUAUCUUCUAUUGCUGGCACCUAUAAGGUAGCCACUGUCGGGUCCCUGAUCAUCCUUAUGUCGUCUCUAAAAGAUUGGCAACUCACGAAUACUGAUUUGACAAUGGGGAACACCAAAGUAGGUGCUACAGUCAUUUGCAACUUUAUUCUCCCAAUCGAUAUUGGUUAACUGAAUGAGCAAUCAGACACAACCGUCUUCUCUCAGGCUCUACAUUUUUCCUUGGUAGGCCUUUUUUCUACUUAUAAAGCCAUGCUUCGCUAUAAGAGGUUGACAAAGGCUGCCAAUAAGCUAAAUAGCUCUUGGGACAAACAGAACAAAAAGGUAAAGGAGCUAGAGCUCAAGUUUGCUACCUCAUAUAGAAAGGUGGUGAAGAUGGAGAAGAAUCUUCUAACAGUGGACGCCGCAUUUAAGUCUUCAGCUUAAGAGGUUACUGCCUUGAAGGAAGAUCAGCUCUCUGCCACCAUUGAUGGGUCUAAAGCAACUCAUGACGCUACUAUUAAAGAUGCGAAGGAUGAAAGAUGCAACAAGGCAACUGUAGACACCCCAUUUUUUACCGCCCUUACGACUUAGGCGCCACCGAUUAUGCACCCAAUGAUGAAUUUGUAUAUGCUUGUCAAAUGCUCGAAGUCCUCAGCAGAGUGCCUUAGCUUUGAGCCUCAAAACCCUAUGAACCUCUUGCCUUGUUUUUGGACCAAAGUAACAAUUUUUCAAACCUAAACAUCCUGGUACCUGCAGACCCACUAGUGUGGACUGCCAGCCAUUAUAGUAGCCGACAACCCACUAUUUGUGGACUGCCGGCCACUUGUGUAUUUUUUCAGAUAUUUUUGCCAGUUGUUUCCACAGAUGCAUACACCAGUUCAUACGUGUCUGUAUAGAUAUUUCUGAGGUAGUCUCUUGUUUUUCUAUAUAUAGAUGACCUCCUCUCUUGUUUUAAAGGUUAGAAAAAUUUGGGAGCAAAAAUUUCUCUUUCUUUCUACAAUUCUCUCUCUCUCUCUCUCUUGCAAGUUCUUCACUCUUUGCCUGUACACUCUAAACCAAACCUUGUGGUAUUUGUGCUAAGGUGUUUUGAGCUUGCGUUUAGCUCUUGAGGGUGUGUAAUUGUUAGUUUGUAACUCAAAAAGGGUAUCCAUUUUCAAGAG